rnacentral:rRNA from 1 species
GACGAACGCUGGCGGCGUGCUUAACACAUGCAAGUCGAACGGAAAGGCCCUGCUUUUGUGGGGUGCUCGAGUGGCGAACGCGUGAGUAACACGUGAGUAACCUGCCCUUGACUUUGGGAUAACUUCAGGAAACUGGGGUUACUACCGGAUAGGAGCUCCUGUUGCGUGGUGGGGGUUGGAACGUUUCGGCGGUCGGGGAUGGACUCGCGGCUUAUCAGCUUGUUGGUGGGGUAGUGGCUUACCAAGCCUUUGACGGGUAGCCGGCCUGAGAGGGUGACCGGCCACAUUGGGACUGAGAUACGGCCCAGACUCGUACGGGAGGCAGCAGUGGGGAAUAUUGCACAAUGGGCGGAAGCCUGAUGCAGAAACGCCGCGUGCGGGAUGACGGCCUUCGGGUUGUAAACCGCUUUCGCCUGUGACGAAGCGUGAGUGACGGUAAUGGGUAAAGAAGCACCGGCUAACUACGUG